GAUGAAGAACGUAGCGAAAUGCGAUACGUAAUGUGAAUUGCAGAAUUCAGUGAAUCAUCGAGUCUUUGAACGCACAUUGCGCCCCCUGGUAUUCCGGGGGGCAUGCCUGUCCGAGCGUCAUUGCUGCCCUCAAGCACGGCUUGUGUGUUGGGCCUCCGUCCUCCUCCCGGGGGACGGGCCCGAAAGGCAGCGGCGGCACCGCGUCCGGUCCUCGAGCGUAUGGGGCUUCGUCACCCGCUCUUGUAGGCCCGGCCGGCGCUUGCCGACACAUCAAUCUUUUUUCCAGGUUGACCUCGGAUCAGGUAGGGAGACCCGCUGAACUUAAGCAUAUCAAUAAGCGGAGGA
rnacentral:misc_RNA from 1 species